rnacentral:lncRNA from 1 species
CUCAAUAACACUCGGCACUACCACAGGGGGCGCGACAUGCUCGACACCCGCCUGGGCCGCCGCCGCCUGCUGGCGCUCCAAGGUCUCCUGGAGCCGCUGAAUCUGUUCCCCUUGGCGUUGAACAGACUCCGCUUGCUGCCGCACUACUCCAAUAAGCGCGGCCAUUUGUUCCCUAAGCUCUCCGUCGCCACUUGCUCCGGAUUGCUCGGGCUCUGCAUUCGUUUCCUCC